rnacentral:rRNA from 1 species
CUAGGAAUCUGCCUGGUAGUGGGGGACAACGUCUCGAAAGGGACGCUAAUACCGCAUACGUCCUACGGGAGAAAGCAGGGGACCUUCGGGCCUUGCGCUAUCAGAUGAGCCUAGGUCGGAUUAGCUAGUUGGUGAGGUAAUGGCUCACCAAGGCGACGAUCCGUAACUGGUCUGAGAGGAUGAUCAGUCACACUGGAACUGAGACACGGUCCAGACUCCUACGGGAGGCAGCAGUGGGGAAUAUUGGACAAUGGGCGAAAGCCUGAUCCAGCCAUGCCGCGUGUGUGAAGAAGGUCUUCGGAUUGUAAAGCACUUUAAGUUGGGAGGAAGGGCAUUAACCUAAUACGUUAGUGUUUUGACGUUACCGACAGAAUAAGCACCGGCUAACUCUGUGCCAGCAGCCGCGGUAAUACAGAGGGUGCAAGCGUUAAUCGGAAUUACUGGGCGUAAAGCGCGCGUAGGUGGUUUGUUAAGUUGGAUGUGAAAGCCCCGGGCUCAACCUGGGAACUGCAUUCAAAACUGACAAGCUAGAGUAUGGUAGAGGGUGGUGGAAUUUCCUGUGUAGCGGUGAAAUGCGUAGAUAUAGGAAGGAACACCAGUGGCGAANGCGACCACCUGGACUGAUACUGACACUGAGGUGCGAAAGCGUGGGGAGCAAACA